CAUGUCUAGUAUAGCAUUAUACCGUGAAACUGCGAAUGGCUCAUUAAAUCAGUUAUCGUUUAUUUGAUAGUACCUUACUACUUGGAUAACCGUGGUAAUUCUAGAGCUAAUACAUGCUGAAAACCCCGACUUCGGAAGGGGUGUAUUUAUUAGAUAAAAAACCAAUGCCCUUCGGGGCUCCUUGGUGAUUCAUAAUAACUUCUCAGAUCGCAUGGCCUUGCGCCGGCGACGGUUCAUUCAAAUUUCUGCCCUAUCAACUUUCGAUGGUAAGGUAUUGGCUUACCAUGGUUUCAACGGGUAACGGGGAAUUAGGGUUCGAUUCCGGAGAGGGAGCCUGAGAAACGGCUACCACAUCCAAGGAAGGCAGCAGGCGCGCAAAUUACCCAAUCCCGACACGGGGAGGUAGUGACAAUAAAUACUGAUACAGGGCUCUUUUGGGUCUUGUAAUUGGAAUGAGUACAAUUUAAACCUCUUAACGAGGAACAAUUGGAGGGCAAGUCUGGUGCCAGCAGCCGCGGUAAUUCCAGCUCCAAUAGCGUAUAUUAAAGUUGUUGCAGUUAAAAAGCUCGUAGUUGAACCUUUGGCCUGGCUGGCAGGUCCGCCUCACCGCGUGCACUUGUCCGGCCGGGCCUUCUCUUCUGGAGAACCGCAUGCCCUUCACUGGGUGUGUUGGGGACCAGGACUUUUACUUUGAAAAAAUUAGAGUGUUCAAAGCAGGCCUUUGCUCGAAUACGUUAGCAUGGAAUAAUAGAAUAGGACGUGCGGUCCUAUUUUGUUGGUUUCUAGGACCGCCGUAAUGAUUAAUAGGGACAGUCGGGGGCAUCAGUAUUCAAUUGUCAGAGGUGAAAUUCUUGGAUUUAUUGAAGACUAACUACUGCGAAAGCAUUUGCCAAGGAUGUUUUCAUUAAUCAGUGAACGAAAGUUAGGGGAUCGAAGACGAUCAGAUACCGUCGUAGUCUUAACCAUAAACUAUGCCGACUAGGGAUCGGGCGGUGUUAUUAUUUUGACUCGCUCGGCACCUUACGAGAAAUCAAAGUG
rnacentral:rRNA from 1 species